UGGGGAAUAUUGGACAAUGGGGGCAACCCUGAUCCAGCAAUGCCGCGUGUGUGAAGAAGGCCUGCGGGUUGUAAAGCACUUUCAGUGGGGAAGAAAAGCUCGGGGCUAAUAUCCCCGAGUCUUGACGUCACCCACAGAAGAAGCACCGGCUAACUCCGUGCCAGCAGCCGCGGUAAUACGGAGGGUGCGAGCGUUAAUCGGAAUUACUGGGCGUAAAGCGCGCGUAGGUGGUUUGGUAAGUCGGAUGUGAAAGCCCCGGGCUUAACUUGGGAAUUGCAUUCGAUACUGCCAGGCUAGAGUGUGGUAGAGGGAAGUGGAAUUCCCGGUGUAGCGGUGAAAUGCGUAGAUAUCGGGAGGAACAUCAGUGGCGAAGGCGGCUUCCUGGACCAACACUGACGCUGAGGCGCGAAAGCGUGGGGAGCAAACAGGAUUAGAUACCCCCGUAGUCC
rnacentral:rRNA from 1 species